GUCCCCGCCAACAAGAUAUUGUGUUACAACCAAGCAUUGCCCAUACCGAUGCUUCUCUCGCGAGCUUGGCAAAGGCCACACUUGCUAUGUUGAUUAUGUCACUUGCUUCUCCUCUUCGCGAUGCUGGCUUUGAAGUCCUGCUCCUUUGGUAACAUUUUCAUAAAAUGACUAAUUCAGUAAUAAUAAUAAUGUACAUUGUUCAUCAGGUAUCGGUUUUGCUGUUUUUUUAAUGAAGUUUAGAGAAAAAAUAAACUACAUUGUAUUUUUAGUCCAAUUGUUCGCAAGGACUUUUACCGUGAAAUCCGCGCGUUGGAUACAGCCAUCAAGUCUUCAGAUUGGUCAUUUAUUCCCGUUGGACUAUUGCGCUACACACAUUUAUCUACCGAUGGUGUUCAUUUGUCGCAAAUGGGCUGCCUGAAUUUGGCGAAAUUAAUUUGUGAGAGAGUAUCCUUAACUCUUUUGACAUCUGCCGUGCCGUUUACUAUCAGCUCAUCUUCAGUGUUUGGCGUCUCUCAAAUUUCCCUUGACGUUUGCAAUAAAUCUGUUUUGAGCAUAGCUGAUUCCCUCUUUGCAGAGCUUUACAAAUCAUACAAACAGGAAUCUUGGACACAUGUCAACGGGCGCUCUGUCAAGUGGAUUUCAGAGGUUCCAUACUCAUAUGGAAGCGUUCGCCACCCGCCCAACAACUCUUGGUCACCACAGUUGUUGUUGUUAAAGACCUUGUUGGAGAAAGAACUCAAAGUUUCCUUCAACAGUGUCCUCAUCAACAUUUAUUGUUCCCUCGAAGAGUAUUUUUAGGGAGUUGGAUUUCACGCUGACAACGAACGUGGUAUUCCUGAUUAUCCAACCAUUGCCAGCGUAUCCCUUGGAGCCACCCGACGCUUUGCAAUGAAAAGAAACGGGACCACGCGCUCUGAAGUUUCUGUUUUGUUGCCACAUGGUAGCGUUUUUACCAUGCUCGGAGCUUGCCAGAAAGACUGGAAGCACAGCAUCUUGAGAGGAUCCACUGCACCCGAUGGAUCGUUUGAGAAAUGGAAUGGCGUCCGUUUAAAUUUGACGUUCCGUAAUCAGUUUGACGCUGAACGUUGAAGUUUUAUGUCAUUUUUAUUACUUGCCGGUUUUUGAAGGUUGAAUUUGAACUUGAUUUCGUGGAAUACUUAACUGAUAUCUUUACCUGAUUGAAGUUUUGUUCAUGAAUACCAACAUUGGUACAUUUUUCAGAUCUGUGUCAUGUCUUUGCAAGUAUUUUUUUU